CAAAGAUAUUCCAUCUAUUCCAGUACGGAGUUGCUGCUGGUACUGCAAUAUCUAUAGAAAGAAUGGAGGUACUGGACUGCUCAUCGGAUUUCGCUUAUUCAAUGCUUACAUAAGUACCAGCAGUUUGUUUGUUGGUCCCCGCAGAAUGGCCAAUAGAUAACCGGAACUCCACAACUCAAACUUUCAAGAGUUGAAUUCCAACCACAGUGCGUCAAGAAUCCAGCUAUUGAUGUGUGAUUUAGAACAUCUUCUUGCGGGCACCAACUUGCUAGUAGUCCUCUUUCUUUAAUUUCUUCUGCAAAUUCAGGUGGCAAAGUAGCUGACUCCCCAAUUACCAGAUCUGGUCUUAUGACCCAUAAGAAAUUAUGUUUACUGUUUGCUAGUCCCCAUGCAAAUUCGGUAAGUUGUUGGGGUGUCAUAACAGUGAUGCUCCCGAAAUUAACAUACACAACUGAGUUAGGUUCUUUGGAGUCAAGCCAUUUCAAUCACUCUGUAUCUUCUUUCCACAGAUUUGAUCCAAGUGACUGUGACUCACUCAAAGGAAACUGAUUGAGGAGUGAAUGAAGAGGUCCAACGGUGUAAAUAGGCGGCAGUGGCAACUGAGACAUGUGUGCAUCCAAAACUUCCAUCUCCAGGGCAGCAAAGGUAUUGAAAAUCAAGGCUGUAGCAUUGGAAUUUCUUUCAGCUUCUCCCUUAAAAAAAUCGAACAUGGCAUCAUUGGGAUCGGUUGUCCGAACAAAGCUAGGAAAAUCUUUGAGUCUGAUGUCUUGUAUACCAGGGUUGGGAUAUCUUGGCUGGCAUUUGGAUUGGUUGGUGGUGGAAGACCGUCGGGGAUGGUUUCAAAACGAAAAUCAUGUAAGCCUAUAAGCGAAUCUGGCCCUCUUGCAUUUAGUAAACGCCGAUGAUUGAAUUCUGUGUUUACAAAGGUUAUUUGAAACCCUCUGAAAUGAAGAAUCUUAGCUAGCUUCAUCAUGGAGCUUAUGUGGCUCUGAACUGGGUAUGGUAUGCAAACCACAUGAAUCUUCUCCAUGCUGUUAAUCUUUGUCUCUCUGUCUCAGUCUCUCUCUCUCUCUUUCUCUGUAGUGUUGGGGAGAUUACUGCUAGCUUUCACAUUUUUAUAGGAAAAUAAUAGGUUUUUGUGUGUUUCAGGUAUACCACAACUUUUGUGUUGUGGAUAUCUUUCAGCCAUGUAAACAAUCUCGUAUAACUAAACGUGUAUUGAUAGAUAAACGAUAUUGCACCGCGUCCCUCCAGCCGACAUUUUAUAGCGGGGCGGGACUAUUAUCGUUUAAAUGUAUUGAGAGUGACAAUUUUAAUCUCUGGCUCUCUCUCCAGCCGACAUUUUAAAAGUAAAAAUGCAA